rnacentral:rRNA from 1 species
GUACGUAGGUGGCAAGCGUUAUCCGGAAUUAUUGGGCGUAAAGAGCGCGCAGGUGGUUGAUUAAGUCUGAUGUGAAAGCCCACGGCUUAACCGUGGAGGGUCAUUGGAAACUGGUCGACUUGAGUGCAGAAGAGGAGAGUGGAAUUCCACGUGUAGCGGUGAAAUGCGUAGAGAUGUGGAGGAACACCAGUGGCGAAGGCGACUCUCUGGUCUGUAACUGACGCUGAGGAGCGAAAGCAUGGGUAGCGAACAGGAUUA